CCGGUGACGCACUGGUAACGGUCCGUUUCGGCGGUUGAGCCAGGGAGGGCGGGAGUUUAGGCUGCACCGACCCCCCUCAGCCCCCCUCCAGGAGACGCUCGGAGCCCAGGACAUGCCGGGAUUGAGGAGAUACGAGGUGGCGCUGGAGGCGGAGGAGGAGAAGAAGAGGAACCCCGUUGGCCUGAAAGAGUCUUUAUUUCCCUUUACCUGCAAGGAGAACAGGAAGCAGCACCUGGCUCCUGGCUUCAGAUCGGCGUAGCUCCGGGCGUUGCGGCCAUUUGGGGACUGAACCAACGAAAGGAAGACCUUUCUCUCUGUCUCUCUCUCUGUCUGUAACUUUACCUGUCAAAUAAAUAAAUAAAAUCUUUAUUUCCCUUU